rnacentral:lncRNA from 1 species
GUGAGUGGCACCCGGCACCUGUCACCUGUCACCCGUGUCACCUGUGUCACCUGUGUCACCUCUGUCACUUGUCACCCAUGUCACCUGUGUCACCCGUGUCACCUGUAUUACGUGUCACCUGUCACCUGUGUCACCCGUAUCACCUGUGUCACCCGUGUCACCUGUGUCACCUGUAUUACAUGUCACCCAUCACCCGUGUCACCCAUGUCACCCAUGUCACCUUUGUCACCCGUGUCACCCGUGUCACCUGUGUCACCUGUACUACAUGUCACUUGUCACCCAUGUCACCCACGUCACCCGUAUUACGUGUCACCUGUCACCCAUGUCACCUCUGUCACCUCUGUCACCUCUGUCACCUGUGUCAGUUGUCACCCAUGUCACCUGUGUCACUUCUGUCACUUGUCACUUGUGUCACCCGUAUUACUGUUACCCAUGUCACCUGUAUCACCUGUCACUUGUCACCCAUGUCACCCGUGUCACCCGUGUCACUUCUGUCACCUCUGUCACCUGUAUUUCUUGUGUCACCUGUAUUACCUGUGUCACCGGUGUCACCCAUGUCACUUGUGUCACCUGUCACCUCUGUCACCCAUGUCACUCGUCAACCAUGUCACCUGUGUCACCUCUGUUACUUCUGUCACCUCUCACCUGUCAUCCAUGUCACCUAUCACCCAUGUCACCCAUCACCUGUGUCACCUGUCACCCAUUGUCCUUGUUGCCUGUCACCCGUGCCACCCAUGUCAUUUAUUGUCCGUGUCACUUGUCACCCGUGUCACCUGUCACCCUGUCACCCGUGACUCGUCACCCAUGUCACCCGUGUCAUUUGUCACCUGUGUCACUUGUCACCUGUGUUCCCAUCAUCCGCGUCGUCUGUCACCCAUCACCGAUGUCACCCUGUCACCUGCCACCCAGGUUACCUGUCACCUGUGUCACCCACCGCUUGUGGUCCAUGUCACCCGUGUCACCUGUGUCACCUUGUGUCACCCCAUGUCACCUGUCACCUGUGUCACCCCAUGUCACCCAUGUCACCUUGUGUCACCUUGUGUCACCCAUGCCCCUUGUCACCCCGUGCCACCCGUGCCACCCUUUGUCACCCGUGUCCCCGUGUCCCCAGGCUCCAGCCACAUCCUGACCCCGCGGAGCUUCCUGGAGGCCGUGGAGGGGCUGGACCAGCCCCUGCCCCCCCCGCAGUGACCGGGGGCACCCAUGGGUGCUGCAGCCCCGCCGGGGGGGGGGGGGGAGGGGAUUAUGGGUGCAAUUAAA